UGCCUACACAUGCAAGUCGAACGAGAAAGCUCCUUCGGGAGUGAGUAGAGUGGCGCACGGGUGAGUAACGCGUGGAUAAUCUACCUACGAGUUCGGGAUAACUUCNCGAAAGUGGAGCUAAUACCGGAUGGUCUGGCAUUUAUAUCUUAGAUGUCGGUAAAGAUAGCCUCUUCUUGAAAGCUAUUGCUUGUAGAUGAGUCCGCGUCUCAUUAGCUAGUUGGUAGGGUAACGGCCUACCAAGGCAACGAUGAGUAGCUGGUCUGAGAGGAUGAUCAGCCACACUGGAACUGGAACACGGUCCAGACUCCUACGGGAGGCAGCAGUGGGGAAUAUUGGGCAAUGGGCGCAAGCCUGACCCAGCAACGCCGUGUGAGGGAUGAAGGUCUUCGGAUUGUAAACCUCUGUCAGAAGGGAAGAAGUGCAUGAGGUCCAAUAGGCCUUAUGUUUGACGGUACCUUCAGAGGAAGCACCGGCUAACUCCGUGCCAGCAGCCGCGGUAAUACGGAGGGUGCAAGCGUUAUUCGGAAUCACUGGGCGUAAAGCGUGCGUAGGCGGCGAGGUAAGUCAGGNGUGAAAUCCCACGGCUCAACCGUGGAACUGCACUUGAAACUGCUUUGCUUGAGUACUGGGAGGGGGAUGGCGGAAUUCCUGGGUGUAGGAGUGAAAUCCGUAGAUAUCAGGAGGAACACCAGUGGCGAAGGCGGCCAUCUGGGACAGUAACUGACGCUGAGGUACGAAAGCGUGGGGAGCAAACAGGGAUUAGAUACCCUGGUAGUCCACGCUGUAAACGAUGGAUACUCGAUGUCGGGCCUUNGAGCUUCNGUGUCAAAGUUAACGCAUUAAGUAUCCCCCCUGGGGAGUACGGUCGCAAGGCUGAAACUCAAAGAAAU
rnacentral:rRNA from 1 species